rnacentral:rRNA from 1 species
AUACGUAGGGGGCGAGCGUUGUCCGGAAUGAUUGGGCGUAAAGGGCGCGUAGGCGGCGCGGUAAGUCUGGAGUGAAAGUCCUGCUUUCAAGGUGGGAAUUGCUUUGGAUACUGCCGCGCUUGAGUGCAGGAGAGGUUAUCGGAAUUCCCGGUGUAGCGGUGAAAUGCGUAGAGAUCGGGAGGAACACCAGUGGCGAAGGCGGGUAACUGGACUGCAACUGACGCUGAGGCGCGAAAGUGUGGGGAGCAAACAGGAUUAGAUACCCUGGUAGUCCACACUGUAAACGAUGAAUGCUAGGUGUAAGAGGUAUCGACCCCUUUUGUGCCGGAGUCAACACAAUAAGCAUUCCGCCUGGGGAGUACGGCCGCAAGGUUGAAACUCAAAUGAAUUGACAAGG